rnacentral:rRNA from 1 species
UACGAAGGGGGCUAGCGUUGCUCGGAAUCACUGGGCGUAAAGCGCACGUAGGCGGGUCUUUAAGUCGGUGGUGAAAUCCUGGAGCUCAACUCCAGAACUGCCUCCGAUACUGAGGAUCUUUGAGUCCGGGAGAGGUGAGUGGAACUGCGAGUGUAGAGGUGAAAUUCGUAGAUAUUCGCAAGAACACCAGUGGCGAAGGCGGCUCACUGGCCCGGUACUGACGCUGAGGUGCGAAAGCGUGGGGAGCAAACAGG